CACGAUUUUCAAAUACACGAGGUAAUUCCACGACGAUUCUGAACGAAGUACAAAAUAAAUACGAUGCCAAACGCGUCGAAAACUACGAAAUUAUUGGAUCGCAAUUAGGUACACAAACGUAAACAAAUUUAGACUUUCACAAUUUGAAGGG